rnacentral:lncRNA from 1 species
GGGGUAGAGCGUGGGGCAGGACACCGGGGCCUCUGAGGGUGGAAGAGGGUGUGUGUGUGUGGGCAGGGCAGAAACUCUGGAGCAGGGGGGAAGCCAGGGCCAGGGGCUCCUGAGGUAGUUUGGGUCAGAGUUUUGGCCUUGAGCCUCCUGGGUGAGGCUCCUGUUUCCUUCAUCCUCAAGGUCUGGGAGAACAGGGUGAGGUGCACAUUCCUGAAAAAGAAGAGAAUCAGGGCCUAAAUCUGUGGGUCGUAAAGGGAG